rnacentral:rRNA from 1 species
CUCUAUGGCCAUACCAUCCUGAAUGUACCCGAUCUCUUCUGAUCUUGGGAUCUAAGCAGGACUGGGCCUGGUUAGUACUCGGAUGGGAGAUAAAGGGU